GGCGCUAUAGCCAAGUGGUAAGGCAAAGGUCUGCAACACCUCUACCCCCAGUUCAAAUCUGGGUGGCGCCUCCA
rnacentral:tRNA from 1 species